CAGCCGUAAACAAUGUGCGUUAGGUGUGUCGGUAACCACGCGUUACUGAUGCGCCGAAGAGAAAUCGUGAAACGCACCACCUGGGAAGUACGGUCGCAAGGCUGAAACUUAAAGGAAUUGGCGGGGGGAGGCACCACAACGGGUGGAGCCUGCGGUUUAAUUGGACUCAACGCCGGAAAUCUCACCGGAUAGGACAGACAUAUGAUAGUCGGGCUGAAGACUCUACUUGAUGAUCUGAGAGGAGGUGCAUGGCGUCAGUGACU
rnacentral:rRNA from 1 species